UACGUAGGGGGCAAGCGUUGUCCGGAAUUACUGGGUGUAAAGGGAGCGUAGGCGGGAAAGCAAGUUGAAUGUUUAAGGUACGGGCUCAACCUGUACAAGCGUUCAAAACUGUUUUUCUUGAGUGGAGUAGAGGUAAGCGGAAUUCCUAGUGUAGCGGUGAAAUGCGUAAAUAUUAGGAGGAACACCAGUGGCGAAGGCGGCUUACUGGGCUUUAACUGACGCUGAGGCUCGAAAGCGUGGGUAGCAAACAGG
rnacentral:rRNA from 1 species